rnacentral:rRNA from 1 species
GAAAGCCGGUCUCAGUUCGGAUUGGGGUCUGCAACUCGACCUCAUGAAGUCGGAGUCGCUAGUAAUCGCAGAUCAGCAACGCUGCGGUGAAUACGUUCCCGGGGCUUGUACACACCGCCCGUCAAGUCAUGAAAGUUGGUAACACCCGAAGCCGGUGGCCUAACCGUUGUGGGGGAGCCGUCGAAGGUGGGACUGGUGAUUAGGACUAAGUCGUAACAAGGUAGCCGUACCGGAAGGUGCGGCUGGAUCACCUCCUUUCUAAGGAG